UAAUGCUUCGGCAAUACAUAUAAUAAAAUUGGAAUGAUACUGAGAAUAUUAUGCCUCGCCACUUCGUAAUGAUGACACGCAAAUUCGUGAACUGUUCUAUAUUUUU